rnacentral:rRNA from 1 species
UAAAGAAUUUCGGUCAUCGAUGGGGAUGCGUUCCAUUAGCUUGUUGGCGGGGUAACGGCCCACCAAGGCAUCGAUGGAUAGGGGUUCUGAGAGGAAGGUCCCCCACAUUGGAACUGAGACACGGUCCAAACUCCUACGGGAGGCAGCAGUGAGGAAUAUUGGUCAAUGGGCGCUAGCCUGAACCAGCCAAGUAGCGUGAAGGAUGACUGCCCUAUGGGUUGUAAACUUCUUUUAUAUGGGAAUAAAGUGCAGUAUGUAUACUGCUUUGCAUGUACCUUAUGAAUAAGGAUCGGCUAACUCCGUGCCAGCAGCCGCGGUAAUACGGAGGAUCCGAGCGUUAUCCGGAUUUAUUGGGUUUAAAGGGAGCGUAGGCGGGUUGUUAAGUCAGUUGUGAAAGUUUGCGGCUCAACCGUAAAAUUGCAGUUGAUACUGGCAUCCUUGAGUACAGUAGAGGUAGGCGGAAUUCGUGGUGUAGCGGUGAAAUGCUUAGAUAUCACGAAGGACUCCGAUUGCGAAGGCAGCCUGCUGGACUGUAACCGACGCUGAUGCUCGAAAGUGUGGGUAUCAAACAGGAUUAGAUACCCUGGUAGUCCACACAGUAAACGAUGAAUACUCGCUGUUUGCGAUAUACAGUAA